rnacentral:snoRNA from 1 species
UCACAAUGAUGAAUGGUCCAAACAUUCACAGUUUCCACUAGAAUUCCAGAUGUGCUGGCAACUAACUACCUUCUGUGGAUGUCUUAGAGG